UACGUAGGGGGCAAGCGUUGUCCGGAAUCAUUGGGCGUAAAGCGCGUGUAGGCGGCUAGAUAAGUCUGCUCUGAAAGCCCGGGGCUCAACCCCGGGAGGCGGGUGGAUACUGUCUAGCUCGAGUCCGGAAGAGGAGUGUGGAAUUCCUGGUGUAGCGGUGAAAUGCGCAGAUAUCAGGAGGAACACCGGUGGCGAAGGCGGUUCUCUGGGCCUUACCUGACACUGAGGAGCGAAAGCGUGGGGAGCGAACAGG
rnacentral:rRNA from 1 species